CUAUAAUGCAAGUCGAGCGAAUGGAUUAAGAGCUUGCUCUUAUGAAGUUAGCGGCGGACGGGUGAGUAACACGUGGGUAACCUGCCCAUAAGACUGGGAUAACUCCGGGAAACCGGGGCUAAUACCGGAUAACAUUUUGAACCGCAUGGUUCGAAAUUGAAAGGCGGCUUCGGCUGUCACUUAUGGAUGGACCCGCGUCGCAUUAGCUAGUUGGUGAGGUAACGGCUCACCAAGGCAACGAUGCGUAGCCGACCUGAGAGGGUGAUCGGCCACACUGGGACUGAGACACGGCCCAGACUCCUACGGGAGGCAGCAGUAGGGAAUCUUCCGCAAUGGACGAAAGUCUGACGGAGCAACGCCGCGUGAGUGAUGAAGGCUUUCGGGUCGUAAAACUCUGUUGUUAGGGAAGAACAAGUGCUAGUUGAAUAAGCUGGCACCUUGACGGUACCUAACCAGAAAGCCACGGCUAACUACGUGCCAGCAGCCGCGGUAAUACGUAGGUGGCAAGCGUUAUCCGGAAUUAUUGGGCGUAAAGCGCGCGCAGGUGGUUUCUUAAGUCUGAUGUGAAAGCCCACGGCUCAACCGUGGAGGGUCAUUGGAAACUGGGAGACUUGAGUGCAGAAGAGGAAAGUGGAAUUCCAUGUGUAGCGGUGAAAUGCGUAGAGAUAUGGAGGAACACCAGUGGCGAAGGCGACUUUCUGGUCUGUAACUGACACUGAGGCGCGAAAGCGUGGGGAGCAAACAGGAUUAG
rnacentral:rRNA from 1 species